AUAUGCAUGUGUUGUUGAAAUACCUAAUGCCAGAGGUGCUGAUAAAUCUGAAUUUUGUCAUGGUGCUAUGGAGGAGUUAGUAAAGCAAGAUGCUGAAAUCAGUACCACCUGGGAAGAGGCAGAGUUUCCCAGAUGACAGAUAUUCCCUGAGGCACGGCCAGUUCUCCACCCAGCACAUCUCUGCAUGGGCACCCAAUUCACCUCUUACUGAGGACAAUCACCCCAACUGUGAAGUAUGCCGCUGACCAUAUGGAAGCCAGAAGAAAAUACUGAAGUGAAAGAGCUGUGGAGAGACCCUACCAAUGCAGGAAAAGUCUCCUCAUAGAGCCAGCACUUCCUCACCCUCCAGGCAGGAAGACCCUCCGAGGAGUCUGUGAUGAUCAUCACGGCAGCCCAUGGAAAUUCUGCAAAGAGACAUUGGAGCUAUGUUGUGUGCUCAGACUCAUCUUUACUUUUAAAGACAAAUUCAGGACAACUCAGCCCCAGGAGAAGUAUCCUGAGAGAGGAGAAGCUGAAGCAGCAGCCAUGCAUUUAGUGAAGACCUGCUGUGCUCAUAUCACAGUGGACGUAUGCACCAAAGCCCAUCAGCCCCUUAAUGGAUAACUGCCAGAUUAUCCACAGGGCUAUUUAUUGUACUUUAUGCAUCUGGGGCUGCAACGUCUGAUCUGAAAAUUGGCUAAAAGUUGUGGGAGGGGUUGCGAAUCAGAGGCCGGAGCUUGCAUAACUGCGCAGAGUGAUGACUUCUAAUGCCCAGCUUCCCCCUUCUUGAGGGCUCAAGAGAAAUGUCUUUUAACAGUCCCUCGAGGAUUUGUGUUCUUAGACCUUUGGAGGACAGUGUGUGCUGAUAUCACUCUCUCCUGCCAGAGAGGAAAUCCACUUGAUACUGACCAUAACUGCUGCUACAAAUCUAUUUCAUAAAGCUGCUAUCACUAGACAGUUGUUUUUUUUUUUUUUUUUUUUUUUUUUUUUUUU